GCCUGGAUAGCUCAGUGGGUUAGAGCGUGGUGCUGGUAACACCAAGGUUGCAGGUUCGAUCCCUGUAUGGGUCAGUUGCA
rnacentral:tRNA from 1 species